GGGAAGCCGGUGCGAAUCCGGCGCUGUCGCGCAACUGUGAGUGGGGAGCCAUCGCCUAGCGGCCACUGAGGCGGAAGCCUUGGGAAGGCAGGCGGAUUGCAGUGAUCCACGAGCCAGGAGACC
rnacentral:ncRNA from 2 species